GUUUUCUCUUCCUAUUAUUGAUAUUCCCAGUAUAUUGACCUUGGCUUUUCCUGACUACUCUGAUUUCUGGUUUCCCUGACUUGGCUUAUUUAACAGUAUUUUGUAUUUCUGGAUUCCUUGAUCUUGGCUAUCCCUUGAUCAUUCUCUGUCUUUAAUGUAUUAGUCCGGCCAUUCUAAGAACCGGUUUACAUUCUGUCUUUUUCCAUUCUGUCUAUGUAGAUGUUACAUAGUUUUGCGUGCUGGGCCACACUAGCAGUCGUGAC
rnacentral:lncRNA from 1 species